rnacentral:lncRNA from 1 species
ACAGUACCAAUCACAACAGUACCAAUCACAACAGUACCAAUCACAACAGUACCAAUCACAACAGUACCACCGACUUUGAUACUAUUUCGAGUAAUAUAAUCGAAAAAAUUAAACACUCUAAUAGCAAUAAUAUAACUAAUAGUUGUAUAAACACACAUACAAAACAAAGAGACGAGAAAAUAUUGAAUACUCAAGUAAAUGACAAAAGCGUUUUUGACAUCUCUUCUUUAACUCAUAAAUAUAAAUACAAAUCCAAUAUAAUUUUAACGAUAAAUAAAAUUAAGAAUAUAGAAAAAGUGAUUGAAAUAGAAUUAAACUUAGGAGAUGUUCAGUUAAAAGUACCUGGAAUGAGAGUUGAAAAUUUAAUACUACCCUAUAAAUUUUACAAUGACAUCCUAAACAUACAAAUAAAAACGUUACGAGAGAAUGAUGGAGAUAAAGAUGAAGGUAUAGCAAAAAAUGCUUCAAAAAUUUUAAAUAUAAAUUAUGGUAAUAACAUGUAUAAAAGACAGGACAUAGUAAAAAACCCAUACUGCACAUCACAAGAACAGUUAAAUGGUACGUCAUGUUUCAUUAUUAAAACAUAUUAUAUCUGUAUACCACUGAAUAACAUACAAAAUGAAAUUAUUAAUAAAAGACUUUUUUUAAUUGAUACAGAAUGUAAAAAAAAAUUUGAAAAUGAAAAAUUGUUACCUGAUAGUAUAUAUUUAAUUCAGUCGAAAGAAAUGUCGUCAAACAAUGAAAGCCAUAUGUAUAUAUCAAUUAAAAAAUGUAACAAUGGUAUACAUUUUUAUCCUAUUGAAAAUGAUACUACUAAUACAGGUAGCAAUAGCAAUAAAAAUUUAUCUUUUUGUCAUACAAAUAUGAACACAGUAUUUAAACCUGUCUAUGUCAGCUUAUAUAAUGAUACGAUAGACAUAGCAGUUGGACAAUUUAUUAAUCAAUACAAUUUGAUUAAUAAAAUAAAAAUUGAAAAAUUAAAUAAAACUGGUUUUUAUAUUAUUAACAAUAGUCGGUUUUGUUUUUCUUUUAAUAAAAAUAAUAUAUUAGUAUAUAAUACCGAUAAUAGAAUCAAUCAAGUAAAUAUAACAACACCAACGGAGAGUAAUAUUGUAGAAGAACAUGCAAGUAAUUUAUUUAUUUUUUUUUCAUACAAUUAUAUAAUGGUAAAUUCUUUGUUGGAUAUAUUUCCUUUGGUAAUCUUUCCCCUAAUUAACCAAAUUGAAUAUUUUGAUUUUAUUAACAAAAAUGAA